CUACGGGGGGCUCCAGUAAGGAAUAUUGCGCAAUGGAGGCAACUCUGACGCAGCCAUGCCGCGUGCAGGAAGAAGGCCUUAUGGGUCGUAAACUGCUUUUAUUUAGGAAUAAACCCCCGAACGUGUUCGGGGCUGAAGGUACUAAACGAAUAAGCACCGGCUAACUCCGUGCCAGCAGCCGCGGUAAUACGGAGGGUGCAAGCGUUAUCCGGAUUUAUUGGGUUUAAAGGGUGCGCAGGCGGGCUAUUAAGUCAGUGGUGAAAUCCCGGGGCUCAACUCCGGAACUGCCAUUGAUACUGAUAGUCUUGAGUAUGGUUGAAGUGGGCGGAAUGUAGCAUGUAGCGGUGAAAUGCAUAGAUAUGCUACAGAACACCAAUCGCGAAGGCAGCUCACUAAGCCAAAACUGACGCUCAUGCACGAAAGCGUGGGGACCAAACAGGAUUAGAUACCCUCGUAGUC
rnacentral:rRNA from 1 species